rnacentral:lncRNA from 1 species
UUAAUCCUACAUUUAGUAAUAUUUUCCAUGUUAGAUGUAUUUGUCAUAUUUAUCAUUUAAUUGUUGGUGAUGGUAUGCGAAUAUUAAACAUAGAAAUUGAAAAGGUGAGAAUGGCUCUUAAUUGGCUAUUUUGUUCAAACCGUAGAACUAGACUUAGAGAUUAUUUUAAAAAAUGUGACGAAUAUGGCCUUAGAGAAAGAAAGGUUCCUAA